rnacentral:rRNA from 1 species
AGCAGUCGCCGCGGGAAUACGUAGGGUGCAAGCGUUAAUCGGAAUUACUGGGCGUAAAGCGUGCGCAGGCGGUUAUAUAAGACAGAUGUGAAAUCCCCGGGCUCAACCUGGGAACUGCAUUUGUGACUGUAUAGCUAGAGUACGGCAGAGGGGGAUAGAAUUCCGCGUGUAGCAGUGAAAUGCGUAGAUAUGCGGAGGAACACCGAUGGCGAAGGCAAUCCCCUGGGCCUGUACUGACGCUCAUGCACGAAAGCGUGGGGAGCAAACAGGAUUAUAUACCCGGGUAGUCCCUGUCUCUUAUAC